rnacentral:tRNA from 2 species
CGGGAAGUAGCUCAGCUUGGUAGAGCACUUGGUUUGGGACCAAGGGGUCGCAGGUUCGAAUCCUGUCUUCCUGA